GUUGGUGGGUAAUUGCGUGUCGCUUUAAGCGGCAUGAGGAAAGUCCAUGCUCGCACUGACUGUGAUGUCAGUAGUGUUCGUGCUAGCUGAAAAAAUAAGGCUAGGCAGCUUGUAAAAGUUGACGGCCAACGAACGACCUAAAGACUUUGUCCAUGGUUUAAUAGUUGUGAAAGUGCCACAGUGACGAGCCAAUCAAGAAAUUGAUUGGGUGGAACGCGGUAAACCCCUCGAGCGGGCAACCCAAACUUUGGUAGGGGCGCUUGACCUAGCGAAUUGAAGUGAUGGUCGGGGAGACAGUAAUGUCUGAGAUAGAUGAUUACCACUACAAAUAAUCUGCCACAUUAUUUGUAGAACAAAACAUGGCUUACAGCU
rnacentral:RNase_P_RNA from 3 species